GAUGAACGCUGGCGGCGUGCCUAAUACAUGCAAGUCGAGCGAACAGACGAGGAGCUUGCUCCUCUGACGUUAGCGGCGGACGGGUGAGUAACACGUGGAUAACCUACCUAUAAGACUGGGAUAACUUCGGGAAACCGGAGCUAAUACCGGAUAAUAUAUUGAACCGCAUGGUUCAAUAGUGAAAGACGGUUUUGCUGUCACUUAUAGAUGGAUCCGCGCCGCAUUAGCUAGUUGGUAAGGUAACGGCUUACCAAGGCAACGAUGCGUAGCCGACCUGAGAGGGUGAUGGACCACAGUGAAACGGAAACAGGACCCAGACUCCGAGGGGGGGAGGCAGUGGGGAAUCUGCGGCAAGGGGGGCAGGCCGGAGGAAGCAAUGCCGGGGGAGUGAGGAGGGUCUUCGGAUGUAAAAACUCUUUUAUGGGGAAAAAAAAACGGUGUAAUAAAAUCCCCCGGUCUUGACGGUACCUAAUAAAAAAGCCCCGGCUAACUCCGUG
rnacentral:rRNA from 1 species